rnacentral:rRNA from 1 species
AUUGAACGCUGGCGGCAGGCCUAACACAUGCAAGUCGAGCGGUAACAGGGGAAGCUUGCUUCUCGCUGACGAGCGGCGGACGGGUGGGUAAUGUAUGGGGAUCUGCCCGAUAGAGGGGGAUAACUACUGGAAACGGUGGCUAAUACCGCAUAAUCUCUCAGGAGCAAAGCAGGGGAACUUCGGUCCUUGCGCUAUCGGAUGAACCCAUAUGGGAUUAGCUAGUAGGUGAGGUAAUGGCUCACCUAGGCGACGAUCCCUAGCUGGUCUGAGAGGAUGAUCAGCCACACUGGGACUGAGACACGGCCCAGACUCCUACGGGAGGCAGCAGUGGGGAAUAUUGCACAAUGGGCGCAAGCCUGAUGCAGCCAUGCCGCGUGUAUGAAGAAGGCCCUAGGGUUGUAAAGUACUUUCAGUCGGGAGGAAGGCGUUAAUGCUAAUAUCAUUAACGAUUGACGUUACCGACAGAAGAAGCACCGG